GACGUAGGGUCCAAGCGUUGUCCGGAUUUACUGGGCGUAAAGAGCGCGUAGGCGGUCCGUUAAGUGUAGAGUGAAAGCUCCGGGCUCAACUCGGAAAUUGCUCUGCAUACUGGCGGACUCGAGGACGGAAGAGGUUUGUGGAAUUCCUGGUGUAGCGGUGAAAUGCGUAGAUAUCAGGAAGAACACCGGUGGCGAAGGCGGGUCUCUGGGCCGAUACUGACGUGAGGAGCGAAAGCGUGGGGAGCGAACAGG
rnacentral:rRNA from 1 species